AACAGGGAUUGCCCUAGUAACGGCGAGUGAAGCGGCAACAGCUCAAAUUUGAAAUCUGGCCCUCGGGUCCGAGUUGUAAUUUGUAGAGGAUGCUUUUGGUGCGGUGCCUUCCAAGUUCCCUGGAACGGGACGCCUUAGAGGGUGAGAGCCCCGUACGGUUGGACACCAAGCCUCUGUAAAGCUCCUUCGACGAGUCGAGUAGUUUGGGAAUGCUGCUCAAAAUGGGAGGUAAAUUUCUUCUAAAGCUAAAUACCGGCCAGAGACCGAUAGCGCACAAGUAGAGUGAUCGAAAGAUGAAAAGUACUUUGAAAAGAGGGUUAAACAGCACGUGAAAUUGUUGAAAGGGAAGCACUUGUGACCAGACAUUUUCCGGGCGGAUCAUCCGGCGUUCUCGCCGGUGCACUUCGCCCGGUAAAGGCCAGCAUCGGUUUCUGCGGGGGGAUAAAAGCUUCGGGAAUGUGGCUCGCCUCGGCGAGUGUUAUAGCCCGUUGCAUAAUACCUCCGCGGGGACCGAGGUCCGCGCAUUGCAAGGAUGCUGGCGUAAUGGUUACCAGUGACCCGUCUUGAAACACGGACCAAGGAGUCGAACAUUUGUGCGAGUGUUUGGGUGUUAAACCCUCACGCGUAAUGAAAGUGAACGGAGGUGAGAGCCCUCGGGUGCAUCAUCGACCGAUCCUGAAGUCUUCGGAUGGAUUUGAGUAAGAGCAUAACUGUUCGGACCCGAAAGAUGGUGAACUAUGCGUGGAUAGGGUGAAGCCAGAGGAAACUCUGGUGGAGGCUCGCAGCGGUUCUGACGUGCAAAUCGAUCGUCAAAUCUGCGCAUGGGGGCGAAAGACUAAUCGAACCAUCUAGUAGCUGGUUA
rnacentral:rRNA from 1 species